rnacentral:rRNA from 2 species
ACGGAUCUCUUGGUUCUGGCAUCGAUGAAGAACGCAGCAAAAUGCGAUAAGUAAUGUGAAUUGCAGAAUUCAGUGAAUCAUCGAAUCUUUGAACGCACAUUGCGCCCGCCAGUAUUCUGGCGGGCAUGCCUGUUCGAGCGUCAUUUCAACCCU